GAGGGUAUAUCUCAGUGGUAGAGCGUGUGCUUAGCAUGCACAAGGUCCUGGGUUCAAAUCUCCAGCUCCUCCA
rnacentral:tRNA from 1 species